GAACGAACGCUGGCGGCGUGGAUUAGGCAUGCAAGUCGAACGAGAAUCUGAGAGUCCAAGUUUUCGGACAAGGAUUUUUGGAGGAAAGUGGCGGAAGGGUGAGUACAACAUGGAUAAUCUACCUUCAAGUUGGGUAUAGCUUUCCGAAAGGAGAGAUAAUCCCGGAUGUGGUGAUCCGGCGCAUGCCGGAGACUCCAAAGGUGGGGACCGCAAGGCCUGCCGCUUGAAGAUGAGUCCGUGCACUAUCAGCUAGUUGGUGAGAUAAUGGCUCACCAAGGCUAUGACGGUUAGCUGGUCUGAGAGGAUGGUCAGCCACACUGGGACUGAGAUACUGCCCAGACUCCUACGGGAGGCUGCAGUCGAGAAUCAUUCGCAAUGGGCGAAAGCCUGACGGUGCGACGUCGCGUGGAGGAUGACGGUCUUCGGAUUGUAAACUCCUGUCAUGUGGGAUAAAUAGCCCGGGUGUGAAUAGCACUUGGGACUGAUAGUACCACAGGAGGAAGAGACGGCUAACUCUGUGCCAGCAGCCGCGGUAAUUCAGAGGUCUCGAGCGUUGUUCGGAUUUACUGGGCGUAAAGGGAGCGUAGGCGGCCGGGUGUGUCGAAUGUGAAAGCCUACAACUCAACUGUGGAAUGGCAUUCGAAACUACCUGGCUAGAGUACUGGAGAGGAGAGCGGAAUUCUUGGUGUAGCGGUGAAAUGCGUAGAUAUCAAGAGGAACACCGGUGGCGAAGGCGGCUCUCUGGACAGAUACUGACGCUGAGGCUCUAAAGUUAGGGGAGCAAACAGGAUUAGAUACCCUGGUAGUCCACGCCUUAAACGAUGAGAGCUAGUUGUCAGUAAGCAUGCUUAUUGGUGACGCAGCUAACGCAUUAAGCUCUCCGCCUGGGGAGUACGGCCGCAAGGUUAAAACUCAAAGAAAUUGACGGGGGCCCGCACAAGCGGUGGAGCAUGUGGUUUAAUUCGAAGCAACGCGCAGAACCUUACCCACCUUUGACAUCCCGUGCUAUCUAGAGAGAUCUAGAGUCCCUUCGGGGCGCGGAGACAGGUGCUGCAUGGCUGUCGUCAGCUCGUGUCGUGAGAUGUUGGGUUAAGUCCCGCAACGAGCGCAACCCUCGCUUCUAGUUGCCAGCAUUUAGUUGGGCACUCUAGAGGAACUGCCUGCGCCAAGCAGGAGGAAGGCGGGGAUGACGUCAAGUCCUCAUGGCCCUUACAGGUGGGGCUACACACGUGCUACAAUGGCGGUGACAAAGGGAUAAUCCCUAAAAGCCGUCUCAGUUCGGAUUGUCCUCUGCAACUCGAGGGCAUGAAGUUGGAAUCGCUAGUAAUCGCGGAUCAGCACGCCGCGGUGAAUACGUUCCCGGGCCU
rnacentral:rRNA from 1 species